rnacentral:rRNA from 1 species
AUAUUGGGCAAUGGGCGCAAGCCUGACCCAGCAACGCCGCGUGGAGGAAGAAGGUUUUCGGAUUGUAAACUUCUGUCCUCAAGGACGAAAAAAAUGACGGUACUUGGGGAGGAAGCCCCGGCUAACUACGUGCCAGCAGCCGCGGUAAUACGUAGGGGGCAAGCGUUGUCCGGAAAUACUGGGCGUAAAGGGAGCGCAGGCGGUCAGUUAAGUUAGAUGUGAAAUACCCGGGCUUAACCUGGGAGGUGCAUCUAAAACUGGUUGACUUGAGUGCAGGAGAGGAAAGUGGAAUUCCUAGUGUAGCGGUGAAAUGCGUAGAUAUUAGGAGGAACACCAGUGGCGAAGGCGACUUUCUGGACUGUAACUGACGCUGAGGCUCGAAAGCGUGGGGAGCAAA